CUGACCCUGUGGCUCAUCGUGCCGAGGGGGUGUAACAAGGAAAGGUGCAUGUCACUUAAAUCUGCUUGCCUUCCGCCAACACUUCAGAAUGGGCGUUACAAAUUCAAACCGAGCAUUUGCAACGAAAUUUUCCCUCUCUCACGAAAUCAUUGCAAUGUUCUUCAAAAUGUAAUUCUGAACCACAUAUCUUCAUCAACUCAGAACACAAUUCAUACUGCACGGGCUUCGUUAAACUCCUAAUCCACAUUGCAAGGGAAGCUGAAGAGCGACUUAACCAGCAAAUAAAUGCAAAGUGCUACCUCGUGACCUAAUAUUGAAAGUAAAAGUAUCCAACAUAAUACCAAGAGCAUGAGGAGGACGAAAGCUAAAGCUACCACACAACAUAUGUAUUCAGCAAGGACGUUUCGGUCGCAAUAAUAUUUCGACACGAAAUUACCCGAGUAAAACAACACUAAACUUCAACAUCGCAUUUAUAACGGUUCGUUGAAAGGGAAAUACGUACACCCGUUUUUCAUUCAAUGCCUUCGUUCCCCCCAGAGCUACCAGAUUCAAUUUCACGAAAAACUAAACUCACUUGACUGACGAACUCUCACCAGAAAACGAAAAUAUUUUCCGAAAUUUUAAUUGGACAGUGUUCUCUAUUGCUAUCUUGUUAGUGCACCUUUCCUUGGCCAAACAGGGUCCAACGUUUAUAAAAAUGUAUUUGUGAAGCACACGUUUUUAAUUUUUAAUUUUGCAUUUCACUUUUUCCAGACUGUCUAAUCCUAUGCAGACACCAGUUACGAGUUAGAUGCUGAUUAGAAGUUGAUUCAAGAGCUAGUACUGGAACAGGAUUGAAGAGAAUAAUAUCUCUGGUCUUCGACAGAAACAGUCCUGCCGUUAAGAUGUAAGCCUACAGCCCGGGGAUUGUAACCAGUGCAGCUGACGAAACCCCAACAACAAACAAAAACAAAGCAUUAUGAAAAACCAUACAAUUGUUAUAAAGGUUUCGAUUUUGCAUCACUGCAGAAAAAUAUGCACAACUUAAGGAAUAAAAUCUACCUUUACGUGUAUCGUGCUGACUCCUCACAGAUAUCAAUAAACUCUGACACUGCUGUGUACUACA